GAUGAAGAACGUAGCGAAAUGCGAUACUUGGUGUGAAUUGCAGAAUCCCGUGAACCAUCGAGUCUUUGAACGCAAGUUGCGCCCGAAGCCAUUAGGCCGAGGGCACGCCUGCCUGGGCGUCACACGUCGUUGCCCCCCAUCUACUCCUUCGGGAUUGCGGGGGGCGGAUGAUGGCCUCCCGUGCGCCUCGUCGCGCGGUUGGCAUAAAUGCCAAGUCCUCGGCGACGCACGCCACGACAAUCGGUGGUUGCGAAACCUCGGUUGCCCGUCGUGUGCGGUCGUCGCGCAUCGAGGGCUCGAAAAAAUUGCCGGGCUCCGGCUCGGCUUUCAACGCGACCCCAGGUCAGGCGGGGUUACCCGCUGAAUUUAAGCAUAUCAAAGCGGAGGA
rnacentral:misc_RNA from 1 species